CUCUGCUCUCCUCGUUUGGAUUAAUUCUGCUAUAAUAACUGUUGGUUUAUUUAUCGGUGCAGCAGCAGAACCUUUUCCACAGACAGUUUUCCUGCCCGUUGGCUUGUUUUAACCAGUUUUCUGCCUUCGGCUGAUUCUACCAGCAGACACAAAGGACUCUGAUAGUUCGGUCCCUCUCUAUCUCCCCACACAUCCACCAACCACUGGAACACAUCUCCAAAGUUCUGCUGGACCAGCUCAGCUUCCCCUCAGAAGAAGUGCUGCCACCUGCCAGAUGAAGGAGCCUUUUGAGAGGCAGCUGGCAUCGUGAUUGGACUGUACUUUGGUCUGUUCCAAUCCAGCUUCAGCUCCAGAGACGGCAGGCGGGACGAGUCAACGGAGGCCUGGUGGACGAAGGCAUGAAGCUGAGUACAAUCCAGAAAACAACAGAGGAGGAGUGCAGCAGCCCAGAGCCAGAACAACCAGAGUAGCAUCACCAAAGAACUACAGACUCUUCACAACCUGCUCAAACUCUUGGUACAGGACCUCACCACACGGGUCAAGAAGGUUUCCGUCUCAUUUCUACUCUGAAGAUCACCUUCUCCUGCUCAAACUGCUGACAAAUGUUUCUGCUGCUCUAAAGUCUGGUCUCCAGAACUUCCUAAAAACUCUCAAAGUCUCUUCUGCUGCAGGUUGCUUUGUAGAACUGUUGCAGAAAAC
ensembl:lncRNA